rnacentral:rRNA from 1 species
UGGGGAAUAUUGGACAAUGGGCGAAAGCCUGAUCCAGCCAUGCCGCGUGUGUGAAGAAGGUCUUCGGAUUGUAAAGCACUUUAAGUUGGGAGGAAGGGCAGUAAGCGAAUACCUUGCUGUUUUGACGUUACCGACAGAAUAAGCACCGGCUAACUCUGUGCCAGAGCCGCGGUAAUACAGAGGGUGCAAGCGUUAAUCGGAAUUACUGGGCGUAAAGCGCGCGUAGGUGGUUCGUUAAGUUGAAUGUGAAAGCCCCGGGCUCAACCUGGGAACUGCAUCCAAAACGGGCGAGCUAGAGUAGGGCAGAGGGUGGUGGAAUUUCCUGUGUAGCGGUGAAAUGCGUAGAUAUAGGAAGGAACACCAGUGGCGAAGGCGACCACCUGGGCUCAUACUGACACUGAGGUGCGAAAGAGUGGGGAGCAAACAGG